AUAUUCUAACAUACACUUACCACGUGUAACGAUGACUUUCGCUUAUACGAAGUUAGAAACCUACUUUGAAAGAAGCAUUACAAUCGACGAGUGCAUAUGAUGCUUCACUGAUGCAGUCCUUUCAUUUGUUGAUAUGGAAAGAUUCGACG
rnacentral:lncRNA from 1 species